rnacentral:misc_RNA from 1 species
GCAAUUUCUAAUUUUUUUAUUUGUUAAGUUGAGGGCUUUUGAAUUGAGAUUUGUUGAUGGGAUAUGAAUUUCAGCCAUUUUGGUUUUUAUUUCCUUUUGAAGGCUGUUAAGAUUCUAUGUUGAUUAUAAUGAAUUUUGUGGUUGCAGUUUCUAGUUGUUUACUGUAUUUUGAAUUUGCAAUAACUCUGGCUUUUUUGAGUUGAUGAUAUAUGCCAAUAGUAGAGUAAAAUUUGUGCAGCUCGAUUUGCAUUUGGCUUUUGGUUUGGAAAGAGGUUUUCUUUGUUGACUAUCAGUGUGGGUGAUUUCUUAAGUUGCCCAAUUUUUAACUGAGUUAAUGUGUGCAUGGAACAGAUAUUCUUCUUUUCAGUUGAGUAUUUCCGUCCUGGAUAACUUCAAUAUGGCUUCAUUUCAAUUUUUAUGGAUAA